rnacentral:miRNA from 1 species
CUGAUUUAAUUUCUGAAGCUGCUGUCUGAGCUGAAGGUGAAGUUAAACCUGGUCUAACAUCAACAUCAGCUCAGACAGCAGCUUCAGAAAUUAAACUG